rnacentral:rRNA from 1 species
AGUGAACGCUGGCGGUAGGCCUAACACAUGCAAGUCGAACGGCAGCACAGUAAGAGCUUGCUCUUACGGGUGGCGAGUGGCGGACGGGUGAGGAAUACAUCGGAAUCUACUUUUUCGUGGGGGAUAACGUAGGGAAACUUACGCUAAUACCGCAUACGACCUACGGGUGAAAGCAGGGGAUCUUCGGACCUUGCGCGAUUGAAUGAGCCGAUGUCGGAUUAGCUAGUUGGCGGGGUAAAGGCCCACCAAGGCGACGAUCCGUAGCUGGUCUGAGAGGAUGAGCAGCCACACUGGAAGUGGGACACGGUCCAGACUCCUACGGGAGGCAGCAGUGGGGAAUAUUGGACAAUGGGCGCAAGCCUGAUCCAGCCAUACCGCGUGGGUGAAGAAGGCCUUCGUGUUGUAAAGCCCUUUUGUUGGGAAAGAAAAGCAGCAGGUUAAUACCCCGCUGUUCUGACGGUACCCAAAGAAUAAGCACCGGCUAACUUCGUG